AUGGUUUGGGCUAUAUAUACUUUCAUUAUGAAAAUGAGGUGAACAGACACAGAAGGAAAGUGCCUGUGUAAAUGUCAGCUUUAUUGAAUGUAGCUAACUAUUAUUUAUUUUUCCAAGCUUUUAAAAGUUAGAGAUCUUUUAAGGUUUAUUAGAUGCUCUUGGACCCCUUCUUUCCAUUCUUGUUUACCUGGCAUUUCUCUGUGCUUUCACAAGCAAGUUGCAAUACAAUGGCUAUUUUCACUUCAUUUUCAGCUUGUAACAGGAUCUAUAUAAGACAAAAUGAAAAAUCCAGUGUUUCCUUAUUUGUAGUUAAACUCGACCUUUUAUAUACCAACCAAAGAUGCCCCAUAAAGCUUAGAGAAGUUAAAAUGUGCUCAAAGGGUUCUGCUCUAGCAAUAUAUUAUGAGAAAAAUGUAUUUUCUAUACAUUUUAGAAUAAUUCACUAAAUUAUAUCUAAAUAGAGUAAGCAUUUAGCGGACUUUUUUACUAAGUACAUGUGGCAAUCUGGUUCUGUUUAAAAUGCUAAUAAAUGCAUCCCAUCUCUAAUGAAACUAGUGCUCCCUGCAUAAUUAAUUAGCAUUUAAUACAGAUGAGGACGGGAAAGCCAUAUUCACAGUCAUUUUUAACCAGAAUAGUUAAUAAAAGAAUUCUUCACAAUUCUGAAAGGUCACACGUGAAUAGCUCAUUUCUGCAAAACGGGUAUUUUUUUGCAAGUAAAAAUUUUGGUGAAGUUUACCUGGAAUCGUUGGUCCAUACAGCUUUUAUCCACAAGGUGGCAUUCCUAACAGGAGUUUACGAGACAUGGUAAUUUCUUGCAGUUUUUGAAGAGCUCUAAGUGAAAGGCAGUCAUAAGCAUUUGUAAUGUUAUAUGAGAUUUUUGUGUUUUAAUUUUUAUAAAAUGUAAUUAAAAGUAAGUCAGAAACAUUAACGAUAAUUAGUUUAAUACUGAUUGAUAUGUGGAGUACACAGAAAUAUGUGAUGGUUCCAGGUCAGCAAAACAGCAUAUUAAUUCAUGGCAUUAUAUGCUACUAUGGACACUUUCCAAUGGUAAAUCCGGAAUCAAUUUUGCUUAAUAAAAGAAUAUAAAAUAAUAAGAAAAUCAAUUAUAUAAAUCAAGAGCACAAAUAAUAUCAUGGUCUUAUAUGCAAAACCCCAGUGUUUGGGGUUUUGGUUAUGAUGCAGCUUUUAGUGAAUGCUGGGUUAAAGAAGAGCACAUAACAGUAUUCACAGGGAAGGAUUUUUCAUAGCUUAAUGUUACAAGUGCCAAGAAGCGUAUUUUCAGAUGCCUGUCAUCCAGGUUGGCCACUGAGCCCACAGGCAGCCCUGCUUUCUUUCAGGCUUUGUAUCUUUUUCACUUUCCUGGAAUCUUUGCUAUAUAUAUGAAUAAAAAGAAUACAUUGCUUGUUAUUCAUUUUAUACAAGCAUGAAGGGAGUAUAAUACAACCUGCUAAACCAAUACAAGUGUACUAGGUUUUAUAUAACAGGGACAUGCAUAUUAUGCUUUUCUCCCUCAUGGGUAAGGUCCUGAUCUUACUUUUGCUUCUUUUGCUGACUCUGUAAGAUCAGACCUGAGUUAAGUAAUCAUUUCUGUUUCCAUUUUAGCUAGUGCCCUAGUUGCAUUUUUUUUGGAAAAAAAGCUAUAACCUUAAGUUUAUGCUUAAACUGGAAUCCAGUGUAAACUGUGGAUUUUUUUUUUUCAAGUCUAUUUCAAGUCAACGGAAAGGAAUACAAUGGAGUAGUUGUUUAUUUGUUUGUUUGCCUUAUUGUUUUGUGGUAGCAAAAAUUCUGUGGUGUCUUUUCUAAUGCAUGUGUACAUUUCCUGUUAAUCUUUCUGCUCCAUGUGCUGCCCCCACUGAUGCCAGAGCCCUCUGGUUUUUCUUUCUAUCAUUUAACACAGCUGAGAGGUUGGAGUAGCAGCUACAUCCACUGCUGACACUAAUGACAGUCUUUGCUGAGAGACAGGGUACUUCUUUGACAUUAAGCAGAUAUUCUUUUUCCUAACAUGCUUAUUUCUCAAAGAUGGCUAUGAAAAGCAGGGUAUGAAUUCUUGUUCACUGAAAACAACUGUCAGUCAAAAAAAAACCACUUUCAGAAUGAUUAGGCAGGUAGAACCUACCUGCUGGAUGAAUCUGGCACAAGGACUGCAGAGACAAACUUGAGUUUAUUGUCUCAUGAUGACUACCAGUAAAAUUUGAGGGCCUGAACAUCUCCUAUAUACUGCAAAUUUUAAAGAAAUGUGGUGAAAAUGUCUAUUUCAAGGGUGUGGAAAUGGCUGGAUGAAGAAAGUUAUACAUAGUAAUUAGGAAAGGUUGAUGAGGAAGUAAAUAAUUUGUGGCUGUUACCUUUCAAGUUAGACAUUGAAUUUUCUUUGUAGUACAUUAGGUGAGUAGAUGGGGACAAGGUUCCUCUGAGAAGAGCAAUGAGCCUGUCCUAGGGAGGAGGUUUAAAAACAGGGAAAACAAACGUACUGAGGAAAGGAACAUUCUCUGCUUUGAUGACUGCCAUGUAGAAAGGGCUUGUAGUGAAGGAUAGUCUGCAAACAGAACUAUACACAGCUAAACAAGUGAACAGGUUAGUCAAGGUAAUGGCAGGGUUCAGGGUCUCCCAAAAAGCCAUAACGUGUAGGGUGCGAUGGACACCACCAGUAGAAAUCAGUGGUCUUGAGCAUUGCUGAUGUUGCUUCUGGGACAUCUCAUGAUGUUGGAUCAGAUGGAUAUGUACUCCAACUCCCAGAAAUGCGGGAAAGAGAUUGCACUAAAUUUGUCCUUUUGCCUGAGUUAUAUGACAGCAACUAAGAGUUCGUGUAACCAAGAGCUUGCAGGUAACACUGUCAGAAAAAAAGUCCAUACUGACUGCAGACAAAUAAUAGUCCUGAUACUUUAUGAUGGAUCUGCAAAUUACUUUGUUAGUACAAAGCACGUCAGGGGCUAAUUUGAUGCGGUUUAUUGUUUGCAAGAGGUGGAUUAUAAAUGUUGGGAAUUGCAUCUUAUGUAACUGCUGCUGGGUAGGCAUAGGUAUGAGUAAGUGUGAACUGGGAAAGGAAAAUGAUACUGGGAACUGUAACCACAAGUAUUAUCACUUCCCAUAUGUAACAAACUUGUGCCUAGGGCAAGGAAGCACAAUUACUGACAGAAGCUGUGUUUGUUCAUGCAAGUGAUUUUAUUGCUCUAAGUGAUUUAUCACUGGAUUAUGUUUUUUGAUGAAAGACUUUUCUGGAAUAAUUGUACUUGAAAUGAGUUGUUUAGCUUCAAUAGACAACCAGGUCUGUCCAUUGAAAAUAAAUUACAUUUUUAAAGUACUUUUAUAAGGGUUUCUAAAUGGUGGGAUACAAUGGGCCAUUAUGCAACAUGGGGGUUUGCUUCCCCAAGUUAGUAACAUAAUCUCUUUCUCUCUCUCCCUUUCACUUCCUCAGUCUCAGAAAUCUAGAACUACACAUUUUAGAAAAUCAUCAGAUACUUAAAUAUUUCAUAUACUUCCAAAUUAUAUGAUUUCACUUCAUCUAUUAUCAAAAGAAUAUGCUGGAUUCUCUGAAUUUAUAUUAGGUGCUGAAGAUACAUUGAUGAUUACUGAAAAGCAGUCCUCAUUUCCUUUACAAAAAGAUGUUACAUUCUCAAAUUGCACAGCACCUGAAUUGCCAGAGUCUCUGUUCCUUGUGCUCCUGGAUCACUGAUGGUAAAGCUCUUACUUUCUUAUGCAUUUAUAUUAUUGUAAAAAGAAAUAGUUAUAAGUACAGGUACCUUCCUUCUCAGAGGCAUCUGGAUGCAAAACAGACACAGCUAUCCACUCUGGUACUUUGGCUUGACACGAGAAUUACUUUACUAAAGGCAAAUCAAACCUGAUACCCAUUCAACCCCUGUUCAAAUGCAGAGUGGCAAAGCUGAGCCGGAAGAUACCAAGUGAAAAGUGAACUUUCCAAUGCUGUAUAAAAGCCAGUUGAAAACUACUUCACAAACUACUAAGAUCUCUGUAGUGCCCAAUACCACAAAUCGUUACUCAUUUCCGCAAGGCACAGCUGACAGCUGACGGGGGAAAUGAAGAAAUAUAAAUUACUUUUCUUUUUAAAUCUGUCCAAAAUAACAUUUGCCUUCUGUGAGCACUUAGCUACUUGUGCUAAGCCUUGGGGUGAAGAGUGAGUCUCCCACCUCCCAAGGUGGUGGCUCUUUCGUGAGUUCUGGGGCAGCAGAAGAAUCAUCUUCAGUGAUGAGAUUUUUUUUCCUUGUAUUAAUGCAUGAUCUGUUUCAUAAAUCAAAUUACAUAUAAAUGAAACAGCUUAAAAGUAAUUGUGCAGCUGAGCAACUGAUGAGUUAUUGUGCCUUAUGGCUGCUGUGGCUAUGUGGGUAAGCACGAAAAAGACAAAAAUUGGUCUCUUUAACCUCCAGUGUCCCUUCUAUCUCCCCUAUGAGUUUCCUGUCACUUUAAUUUAAGAUGUAUUUUGAUCAACUUAUGAAAUCAAUUAUAUGAUACAUUUGUCUCCAAUUCCCCAGAAACAAUUAUCCAGUCCUGUGUUCCUAAAUUCCCUCCUGUACGCUGCCUUACUAUUUUUUUUUUUUGAUAGCUGUAAUAGAUGUUGUUAGUGAUGAUGCUGUUUGUAGAUCUGGUUUUAGAGGUUAGACAGAAGAAUUAAGCAACAUUUGGAGUGUCAUUGAGACCACCUUGGUAAUUUUUUUUGGUUUGCAAAGCAGAUGUCUCUGUAAUGCACUCAAAUUCUUCACCGUCACCUAUUGUCAUAAAGUCAUUUUAGCAUAACUAUUUUUUAAUUCUCUAAGCCUUUUCAUGGAAUAAUUUAAAAUCAGUCUUUGUAGGAUAAAUUUAACUCUAUAUUACAACUCAAAAUACCAGAAUCAUAAAAUUUGGAAAAAAUAUUCUUGUAAUAAGCAUUUUGUAAUUAAUUUAAUUAGGUUUCUUCCAGGCUGAUACUUGGACUGCAAAUUGAGAGUUUUAUUUCCCUUUUGGCCUCAGGUGGUUAAGCAAGCAGAAGGACAUUGGACAAAAGGGACUACCUGAACAAUUUAAGCUGGACUGCAAACAGAAGAGAAAUAAUUCAUUGCUGUGAGACAAAAUCAUCAGUAUAAAGUAACUGCUAGAAAUCUUCAUCGUGCCCUAGGAAGGAGUCCAGGUGCCUUUAUGCCACAAGAAGUUUAAACAAUGUUCAGCUGUGAACCAGGACCUGGAAUAAUGAUGCAAAGCAAAUGCCUGUUGACAUAUACAACCUGUCCCAGGGGAAUGAGAGUGCAUUAGAGGACUGGGAAGAUCCCUAAAACCAAACUGCAGGGUAAAAGAGCUACUCCAAGAAGUGACUCUCUCCAAACAUGAACAUGAACAGAACAUCAUGCUUUCCAAAGCAAUUACAAUUCUCAUUCACUCUUUCCAUCUCCCUCAUGCUUGCUGUGUGUAAUGAAGCUGAAAGACAACAAGGGACAUGGUCACUGGAGAUACUUGUCAAGCCUGUGACUGAAGCUACUGAAGUUCUCUACUGAGACGCCACAUGAAAGCUUGGAUAAAGAAGUGCUACAGUUCCAAAGUCCAAACAUUCCAAACAUUCAGUUACUAGGAAAUAACCAAGUUAUAUCUUCCAAUGCAGCCUUAGCUCAAUUUUCCUAUUUAUGCACGUUAUAAUAUAGUAUUUAAUUAUGUCGCCACAGAUAAGUUACUCCUGAAAUUUCCUCCUAAUAACUUCUCUGAGCAUUUGUGUAUCUAUGUAGCCCUUAGAGCUGGGCCUUUAUUUCUCCCCAAAAGCAUUGUAUUAGAACCCAGCAGAGAGAGAUUUGAUCUAAACUCUGGAUUUCCUAAAGUCUCAGAGGCAAAGUCAACCUGGCAUGACAGCCCUUAGUGAGGAGAGCUGGGGGCUUGGCCCACAAAGUACAAAGUGGAGCUAUGUGUCUGUCUGUCCCAUCCACUUCUCCCUUACAUUUUACUAGAAGUACAGUGACCAAAGUGAUGGCUCAGUGCCUCCCCAGCAAUUCAGCCCCACCACUUGCUGAUUAACCAAAAACCCCUUGCCCAGUUGGAAGAGCCCAUCCGUGCUAGCUGAGGAUUGAAGAUUUUAUUUUGCUCUAGAGAAAGGAAAACUGCAGUGUGGUUUUAAAUCCUUUCACAGAGGAAGGGUAUGGAGCAGGUGGCCAAACAUGCUAAGGAGGACUUUGGACUCAGGCCAUGGCUGGUCUGAGACUGGGAGGUGUCAGGAAACACCUUGCAAAACACUGGGAGUAAGAGUGGACAGCAGCUCUGCAAUUUUCAUUUUCCUUUAGUCAGUAGCUAAUUAGUCUCUGUGUAGGGAACAGGUUCCCAGUGAAAAGCAAAGCCCUGCACUGGCUGUUACCAAGCAAUUAUUCAUUGCCAUUCAAGCAAUUAUUGCUGCCUCUGGGACAGCAGUUACUUUCUACUUUGAGAAACACCGGAGACAACUUUCCAUUAAGCAGUCACUCUUGUUUACAGGAAAAUGCACAAAUAAAUAAUAGAAAUAAUCUACCAAGGUAAAAUUUGAUCUUUUUGAUUUUUAAGUGAAAAACCUAAGGGAAGACACUGAUGUAGAGAACACUGAAGGUUUUUGGCUCUACCUGGGGCAAAAUAAAACCUCUAAAUAGUUGAAAGCCUUUUCUCUAAAAGAUUUACCUUAUGUUUCCAAAAAUGAUAACCUCUCCAAAUAGGUAGAAAAAUAUCAGUAAUCCCAAGUUUGUGGGGGAACAAAGCGCUUGCAUAGCUUUUCUUUCAAAGAUUUAGUUGCUUUCAAGUGUUCCAGUUGCUGAUUAUUUCAGUAGGAAAGUUUGAAAGGAUGAAUAUGUCUGUUCGAUGCCAAGUGACACUCAAGAUGAUCCUUGUUGCAUGCGCUGGCUCAGAGUUGCUGAAGACCUGUGUUUGAAGCCACGUGAACAGCAGCGAGGUUGCACAUUCAGUGCCACACAGAGACAUCUGCAGUUUAACAGGAAUUUCUUUGUCUGGAUAUGAGCAGUGUACAUGCCUAGGUCUCCAUUACGUUCGGUUUCAAGGUUUCUUGCAGGACACUGAUUUAUAAAAAGCUGGUUAGAAAUAAUGAACGGGAUCAAAUGGAAAUGAACGGCGCAGCAGGGAGAGGAUCUGUCCUUUUAACAAGCCGUGGCACUAACAGAUGAAGCAAACUGGCCUUCCCUGGCUCCGCAGCUUGGCUGGGGAAUUGCUCUCACAAGGGGGCCGAGCCCACAAUAGCCUGGUAGCACAAUCGCUCAUAAACCCAGAAAUGUUGCUCUCCUGGAGGGCUUACGUGGCACAUCGUUGUGCAGAGCUGGGGAAAUAAGCUGCGCAUUUCUCAUUCGAUGGUGAUAGUAGGCUUUUUCAGGAGCUUUGCCGACUUCCCACAUCAUGCUUUCGUAGCCUAAAGCGGGUCAAAGCCGGGAAAACCGGCUCGGAGAGCAAAGACAGCUCUGGUGCUGGCACCGCCCGGGGUGGGAGCGCUCCCGGCAAAGGGGCCUGGGGAUGGAGCAGCCGCGAGUCAGUCAUUUAGAGAUCGGCUGCGCUCGGGGGCACGCACUUUUCAUUCCCAGUUUUCCAGGCAGAAAGGCUUCCCCAGCAGCCAUCUGCCGGGCCCCGCUCCCAGCCCGCCUGGGGUGUAAUGGCUCCUGGGGGAAGCACCUGACUCAUUUACCCUGGGCUGAUAACAUAUUGCAGAUAUUUUGCAGGCGGCAGCUGAGCUUUUUGAUGCCUUAAAGAGAGUUUUGUUCCUUUUGCUUCCAAUGUACAUGCCGGUUCCUCCAUGGUGUUUUUGAGGGCAGAACCUAUCAUCCCACAAGUUAUUACUUGCUUCUGUACAUCUGCCUCCUCUGAGAGAACUGAGGAACAAAAUAGUUUUUUAAAGGGGCCCUAUUUACUAAAUAAGUUACUCUUUACCUAAGAGUGCAUGACCUGCUGUAAGUGUUCAAAAAACUUUGGGGUAAUGCCUUAAAAUCAGCUAAAAUUACUUUAUUGUUGAUCUGUUCUAUUCUACUACGUUCCUUUAUUUUAUUUUAUUUUAUUUUAUUUUAUUUUAUUUUAUUUGUAUUCUUCAGCUUGCUCUUUUUACUCCCCUGUAGCCCUUAUAAACACAUGUUACUGUUAGUACAUCAGGAUCAAAGGAAAAAAGAAAGACACUCUAUUGCUAUCUCUCUUCAUCCUCCCCCGAGGAUGCUGUGAUUUAGUUUCUAAUCUGGAGGGCACUGUCAUUGGGAACAAUGCCAAGUCCUUUUUUCAUAGCAUGUAUGAGACUGAAAUUGCUCAUUAAAAUUCUUUCCCACCUUA